UGCAAGUCGAGCGGACAGAAGGGAGCUUGCUCCCGGAUGUUAGCGGCGGACGGGUGAGUAACACGUGGGUAACCUGCCUGUAAGACUGGGAUAACUCCGGGAAACCGGAGCUAAUACCGGAUAGUUCCUUGAACCGCAUGGUUCAAGGAUGAAAGACGGUUUCGGCUGUCACUUACAGAUGGACCCGCGGCGCAUUAGCUAGUUGGUGGGGUAAUGGCUCACCAAGGCGACGAUGCGUAGCCGACCUGAGAGGGUGAUCGGCCACACUGGGACUGAGACACGGCCCAGACUCCUACGGGAGGCAGCAGUAGGGAAUCUUCCGCAAUGGACGAAAGUCUGACGGAGCAACGCCGCGUGAGUGAUGAAGGUUUUCGGAUCGUAAAGCUCUGUUGUUAGGGAAGAACAAGUGCGAGAGUAACUGCUCGCACCUUGACGGUACCUAACCAGAAAGCCACGGCUAACUACGUGCCAGCAGCCGCGGUAAUACGUAGGUGGCAAGCGUUGUCCGGAAUUAUUGGGCGUAAAGGGCUCGCAGGCGGUUUCUUAAGUCUGAUGUGAAAGCCCCCGGCUCAACCGGGGAGGGUCAUUGGAAACUGGGAAACUUGAGUGCAGAAGAGGAGAGUGGAAUUCCACGUGUAGCGGUGAAAUGCGUAGAGAUGUGGAGGAACACCAGUGGCGAAGGCGACUCUCUGGUCUGUAACUGACGCUGAGGAGCGAAAGCGUGGGGAGCGAACAGGAUUAGAUACCCUGGUAGUCCACGCCGUAAACGAUGAGUGCUAAGUGUUAGGGGGUUUCCGCCCCUUAGUGCUGCAGCUAACGCAUUAAGCACUCCGCCUGGGGAGUAC
rnacentral:rRNA from 1 species